UACGGGGGGGGCAAGCGUUGUUCGGAAUUACUGGGCGUAAAGGGCUCGUAGGCGGCCAACUAAGUCAGACGUGAAAUCCCUCGGCUUAACCGGGGAACUGCAUCUGAUACUGGAUGGCUUGAGUUCGGGAGAGGGAUGCGGAAUUCCGGGUGUAGCGGUGAAAUGCGUAGAUAUCUGGAGGAACACCGGUGGCGAAGGCGGAUCUCUGGGCCAUUACUGACGCUGAGGAGCGAAAGCGUGGGGAGCGAACAGG
rnacentral:rRNA from 1 species